rnacentral:misc_RNA from 1 species
AUAGCACAUCGAACCCGGUUUUGUUAGCUGGGGUCGGCUUCAACCUUUUGUGAAACCAAAAUCUUUUUCGCUUCGGUCAGCAGGGGAGGGCAACCUUACCGUAAGCCUGCCGGUAGCACCAAUUUUUAAACCUUUUGAUUAUUAAAUGACGUCAUAUUAAAUUUUCGAAUGAAAAUUA